rnacentral:rRNA from 1 species
GUGGCGAGUGGCGGACGGGUGAGGAAUACAUCGGAAUCUACUCUGUCGUGGGGGAUAACGUAGGGAAACUUACGCUAAUACCGCAUACGACCUACGGGUGAAAGCAGGGGACCUUCGGGCCUUGCGCGAUUGAAUGAGCCGAUGUCGGAUUAGCUAGUUGGCGGGGUAAAGGCCCACCAAGGCGACGAUCCGUAGCUGGUCUGAGAGGAUGAUCAGCCACACUGGAACUGAGACACGGUCCAGACUCCUACGGGAGGCAGCAGUGGGGAAUAUUGGACAAUGGGCGCAAGCCUGAUCCAGCCAUACCGCGUGGGUGAAGAAGGCCUUCGGGUUGUAAAGCCCUUUUGUUGGGAAAGAAAUCCAGCUGGCUAAUACCCGGUUGGGAUGACGGUACCCAAAGAAUAAGCACCGGCUAACUUCGUGCCAGCAGCCGCGGUAAUACGAAGGGUGCAAGCGUUACUCGGAAUUACUGGGCGUAAAGCGUGCGUAGGUGGUCGUUUAAGUCCGUUGUGAAAGCCCUGGGCUCAACCUGGGAACUGCAGUGGAUACUGGGCGACUAGAAUGUGGUAGAGGGUAGCGGAAUUCCUGGUGUAGCAGUGAAAUGCGUAGAGAUCAGGAGGAACAUCCAUGGCGAAGGCAGCUACCUGGACCAACAUUGACACUGAGGCACGAAAGCGUGGGGGAGCAAACAGGAUUAGAUACCCUGGUAGUCCACGCCCUAAACGAUGCGAACUGGAUGUUGGGUGCAAUUUGGCACGCAGUAUCGAAGCUAACGCGUUAAGUUCGCCGCCUGGGGAGUACGGUCGCAAGACUGAAACUCAA